rnacentral:hammerhead_ribozyme from 1 species
ACCCAGCUGACGAGUCCCAAGUAGGACGAAACAUGCGUCCUGGAU